rnacentral:rRNA from 1 species
AUUGAACGCUGGCGGCAUGCCUUACACAUGCAAGUCGAACGGUAACAGGUUAAGCUGACGAGUGGCGAACGGGUGAGUAAUGUAUCGGAACGUGCCCAGUCGUGGGGGAUAACUGCUCAAAAGAGCAGCUAAUACCGCAUACGACCUGAGGGUGAAAGCGGGGGAUCGCAAGACCUCGCGCGAUUGGAGCGGCCGAUAUCAGAUUAGGUAGUUGGUGGGGUAAAGGCCUACCAAGCCUACGAUCUGUAGCUGGUCUGAGAGGACGACCAGCCACACUGGGACUGCGACACGGCCCAGACUCCUACGGGAGUCAGCAGUGGGGAAUUUUGGACAAUGGACGCAAGUCUGAUCCAGCCAUGCCGCGUGCGGGAAGAAGGCCUUCGGGUUGUAAACCGCUUUUGUCAGGGAAGAAAAGGUUCUGGCUAAUACCUGGGACUCAUGACGGUACCUGAAGAAUAAGCACCGGCUAACUACGUGCCAGCCGCCGCCGUAACAC